rnacentral:lncRNA from 1 species
GUCAACAAUAGUGCUGUUUAAUUUACUGGAAGGAAUUAUGAAAUAUUGAUAUUCGUUGAAACCUACAGUUCCUGCCGGGCAGGUGGUAUCAUAAAUGUUGAGUCAAUUAGAGUUGUUUCUUUAAUGUACAUUGGAGUACAAUUUCAUAUAGGCCUACUUAUGUAGAGGAAUACGUGGAUGGUUUUGUAGCAUUUAGUUUUGUUCAUACCAUUGCUGUAUAGUUGAUUUUAUUUGUAUAGUGAGUGAUACAGUACUUGUCAAGGUUUUGUUGAAGGCAGUUACCUCGGUGCUGGUACAAGACAUUUAUCGCGUCAUUGAACAGGGCAAUUAUACGUAUACAAAAGAACCAAAGAUGAUUUAGCUUCAUCACGUUUCUGUCAUCUUAAUACAUAAAUUAUUUUGUGCGAAGACUGAUGUUAUUGUUGUUGUUGUUUGUUACUGGAUUUGAUAAUAGUAUGGUGUACCAUAGUCAAUUAGAGGUAAACCGAUUUACAUACCUUCCGGUGGUGAAUUGUGCUGAACUCCGGGAGACAAUCUAGCUGAAACACAAGGAGAGCCACAGAUAGAAUUGAACUACAAAUAAUCUCUACUGCUCACAUACAGUGGCUACCACCAGUUUAGCCGACUGAGCCUAGUAGCUUUACUUAAAUCAGAAUUUACGGUCAAAUUAAGAUAAAAUCAAUAAAGUUAGGCCUCUCCACCAAAAACGCUGUUCUAUAUAAAUGAACUUAGGUCCUCAAACAUGCAGGUUUUCAAUGAUAGACUCAAAAUAAUUUGAUUAUGAUAAUUUUAUUAUACUGCGAGUUCAAAAUGUGUGAUUUCAGGUGACAUUAACACAUCUACUUUGCCUAGACCACCGUAAAGAAGCGUGUGUUACAGUUGAUAAUUUAGGUCUAUUCGUCCUACUCUUCACAGGAUUACUUUAAAUUUAAUUACUUUGACUUCAAAAUGACACUAAUGAUGUGUUUCACCUUUACCUAAUGUUAUUUGUCAGAAUGUACAACUCCUUUGAUUUGGAAGACCACUAAUUUUGGGUUAGAACUAGAUUUGAGUCUUAAAGGCAACUGCCGCUGUUUGUAUAUGCAUUGAACAUUUGCACAAUAUUCACUAACCUAGGCCUGCAUUAAACGAUCUUUAGCUUGGCACUACGACAUUAUCUCAAUUUCCAUAAAAUGAUGAAUAUAACUUCAGUUUUAGUAUAUUACAUUACAAUGUUGUACUGGUAGGAGUAAUAAUUAAUAAUCUAGUCAGUGUUGUAGCUAUAGAAAAAUAAAGGUGGAUGGAGAUAUUUUAAGGUUGGGUGGGUGAAAACAUGAAUGAACCCUAAGAGUGGAUUUUAAGGAUGGGCAUGGAGGUUAACAUGGGUGGGUGCAGGGUGCCUGAAAUUUGUUUUAGACUGGGUAGAAAACUUCAAAGCUGGGUGGCCCGCCCACCAUAAAUACAUCCCUGAGUUCUAGUGUCCUGUAUCUAGUAUUAGAAUUCAUGCCCAAUGAAAAAACUUUAUAAUACAGUAGGUGGGGAGAUCCAACCUGGUCUGUGCCCCUAAAGAUUUCAAAAUUAUUUAAAAAAAUGAAAAUUAUAUUCAAAUUUAAAUCUUAGAGUGUCAUUUUCCGGCCAUAAUCAUGAUUUUUUUUAGAGGUGGCCUAGACCUUCCAUCUGUGAAAGUCCAUCUUUGGGCCCCCUCUACUUUAAACUAUUGGAUAUCCUACUGGCCACUCCAAUGAAAACACCAAAUUGUAUGGUGACACUUUUAUCUAUCAUAAAAUAAUAAAAGCAAUUUUAAUCAUUUUGGAUAAUGAUAAUAUAGUAAAAAAGACUUACAGUGACUCAAGUGUUUCUAUCAUUUUUUGCUGUAAAAUUGUGUAAACAUUUUUUUAAGUGCACGAAUUUCUAUGUUCAAGUUGAUAAUUUGUAUGUUAUUUCAAAAUGUGCCAGUUAAUUUCAAAAAUGAUUUUGAUUUUUUUUUCUUGUAUUUUUCAUGGAACAGUACGCCUACAUCUUUGCUUUUCUAUAAAUGUGUUGUAAAUUCUAUGCGACAUUGCACAAUCCCCAGUGUGUCACUUUAAAUAGAAGGCUCAUCUUUUUAAUUUGAUAUUAAAUCUGAAAA